rnacentral:rRNA from 1 species
UACGGGGGGGGCAGGCGUUGUUCGGAAUUACUGGGCGUAAAGGGCGCGUAGGCGGCCUACUAAGUCGGACGUGAAAUCCCUCGGCUCAACCGAGGAACUGCGUCCGAUACUGGCAGGCUGGAAUCCGGGAGAGGGAUGUGGAAUUCCAGGUGUAGCGGUGAAAUGCGUAGAUAUCUGGAGGAACACCGGUGGCGAAGGCGGCAUCCUGGACCGGUAUUGACGCUGAGGCGCGAAAGCUAGGGGAGCAAACGGG